rnacentral:rRNA from 1 species
CUACGGGAUGCAGCAGUCGAGAAUCUUCGGCAAUGGACGAAAGUCUGACCGAGCGACGCCGCGUGCGGGAAGAAGGCCCUCGGGUUGUAAACCGCUGUUAGGAGGUAGCAAUAAGCGAUAGUGUAUAUCGUGAUGAGUUAAACUCCAGAGAAAGUCACAGCUAAUUACGGCCAGCAGCUGCGGUAAUACGUAAGUGGCGAACGUUACUCGGAAUCACUGGGCUUAAAGGGGGUGUAGGCGGACAGGUAAGUUGGUGUUGAAAUCCCUCGGCUUAACCGAGGAAUUGGCACCAAAACUAUUUGUCUUGAGGAUAGCAGGGGGGUGUGGAACUUCUGGUGGAGCGGUGAAAUGCGUAGAUAUCAGAAGGAACACCGGUGGCGAAGGCGAUGCCCUGGGCUAUUUCUGACGCUGAGGCCCGAAAGCGUGGGGAGCAAACAGGAUUAGAUACCCCCGUAGUC